rnacentral:lncRNA from 1 species
AAGCAUAUGAAUAAGGAAGAAAUUGGGAACUUUCCUUUAUGGUCCCUGGCUCGCUUAUUCGGUCCAAUGAUUUUCUAAGCCAGAACUCCGUUCGUAAGAUCCGACGAAAAAUGGAACCAACCCGCUUUAACGUCGACUAUUAUUCAUAUAAAUUUCGUUAUCAAGAAUAUUGCCAAAGUUUGAUAGAAGUGAUAUUAUCGGCCGAGUAUACCGAUAAGAUAAACUUAAAGUCCACCAAUGAGAUAAUAAAAAAAAUAAAAGAAAAACAUGACCGAAUUGGUUGGAUCUAAACGACGAUUUCGAUCGGCAAGAAAUACUUAGCAAUAGUGGAAUACCGUAACGGUUAUCGAGAGAAAUUGGGUCAAGGAUUUCUUCUCCGCGCUGAAAUUCAAUUACCAACAGCCAAAGCCAUGAGAGAGACACCACCACCACCACCAUCGCCAUCAAAUCAUCGUGAUGCUCAUUGCUCUUUGAAAGAAAGAAAGAAA